rnacentral:rRNA from 1 species
GAUGAACGCUGGCGGCGUGCCUAAUACAUGCAAGUCGAGCGAACAGACGAGGAGCUUGCUCCUCUGGCGUUAGCGGCGGACGGGUGAGUAACACGUGGAUAACCUACCUAUAAGACUGGGAUAACUUCGGGAAACCGGAGCUAAUACCGGAUAAUAUAUUGAACCGCAUGGUUCAAUAGUGAAAGACGGUUUUGCUGUCACUUAUAGAUGGAUCCGCGCCGCAUUAGCUAGUUGGUAAGGUAACGGCUUACCAAGGCGACGAUGCGUAGCCGACCUGAGAGGGUGAUCGGCCACACUGGAACUGAGACACGGUCCAGACUCCUACGGGAGGCAGCAGUAGGGAAUCUUCCGCAAUGGGCGAAAGCCUGACGGAGCAACGCCGCGUGAGUGAUGAAGGUCUUCGGAUCGUAAAACUCUGUUAUUAGGGAAGAACAAAUGUGUAAGUAACUAUGCACGUCUGGACGGUACCUAAUCAGAAAGCCACGGCUAACUACGU